rnacentral:rRNA from 1 species
AGCGAACGUUAGCGGCGGGCCUAACACAUGCAAGUCGAGCGAGAAAGGGGCUUCGGCCCUGAGUAAAGCGGCGGACGGGUGAGUAACACGUAGGUAAUCUUCCCUUGAGCGGGGGACAACGAUUCGAAAGGAUCGCUAAUACCGCAUAAGUUCCCAGGGACCCCGGUCCUUGGGAGGAAAGCUAGGCAGCAAUGUCCGGCACUCGAGGAGGAGCCUGCGUCGCAUCAGCUAGUUGGUGGGGUAACGGCCUACCAAGGCGAAGACGCGUAGCUGGUCUGAGAGGAUGAUCAGCCACACGGGGACUGAGACACGGCCCAGACUCCUACGGGAGGCAGCAGUGGGGAAUAUUGGACAAUGGGCGCAAGCCUGAUCCAGCCACGCCGCGUGAGUGAUGAAGGCCUUCGGGUCGUAAAGCUCUGUGGGGAGGGACGAACCGCUGCACGUUCAUAGCGUGCAGCAUGACGGUACCUCCUUAGCAAGCACCGGCUAACUUCGUGCCAGCAGCCGCCGUAACAC